rnacentral:rRNA from 1 species
UACGUAGGGCGCAAGCGUUAUCCGGAAUUAUUGGGCGUAAAGAGCUCGUAGGCGGUUUGUCGCGUCUGCCGUGAAAGUCCGGGGCUCAACUCCGGAUCUGCGGUGGGUACGGGCAGACUAGAGUGAUGUAGGGGGAGACUGGAAUUCCUGGUGUAGCGGUGAAAAUGCGCAGAUAUCAGGAGGAACACCGAUGGCGAAGGCAGGUCUCUGGGCAUUAACUGACGCUGAGGAGCGAAAGCAUGGGGAGCAAACGGG